UUUCACAAGGCAAAAGAAAUAAAAGCAAAACAAGCAAAUGGGACCUAAUCAAACUUAAACACUUUUGCACAGCUAAGGAAACUAUCAAUAAAACAAAAAGACAACCUAUGGAAUGGGAGAAAAUAUUUGCAAAUGAUGUCACACUAAUGGGAAAAAGUGAAGAAGAACUAGAGCCUCUUGAUGAAGGUGAAAGAGAGUGAAAAAGCUGGCUUAAAACUCAACAUCCAAAAAACUAAGAUGAUGGCAUAC